CUACAUCUUCUCCUUAUCUGAAUCAGGACCUUUUUUUUUUUUUUUCUCCCUUGAGGACCAUUUUUCAACAAGCUCUUUGACACUCCAUGUCCUCUUGCCUCUAGAAAUCAUUUUUGGCCUUAAACGUCUCUCCAAGAGCUCCGGCAGAUGUUCUCUGUGGACCCUGUGCUCCGUAACUGCCUUCGGACCCGGACAGACGCCGCGUCUCCUGAAGCAGUCCCUUCUGAUGCCUGGGCUCCAGACACAGUCUGGACUUGCCCUGACUUCCUGUGUUCCUGAAAAUUCCAGAAACCUCAAGCAGCAUCUCAUCAGAAACUCCAGACCUCUUCAGCAUUGCCCCUCUGCUCUGCUGAGUCCUAGGCCAUGUCAAUUCCCUUUGCGUCUCUGGGAUUUAGAGAUAAGCAGGGGAAAACAGGCUCAUCCUCAUUGCCCGGCAGCCUGGUGCCUGCGGAAGAGCCACAUGGCGGUGUUUUAGAAGGCAGCCACCCAAGGGCUCGAGUUUACCAACUGGGGCCUGCAAGAUCGUGGACACUCCCACAGUCUGGGUCAUCACGUCAUUGCCCAGAGGGCCGUUCUUCCUGAGAGUCACCAACCGCAGCAAACUUUGUAUCGCUUCACUUCUUCCUCCCCGGAGGAGCCUUCCUAUCUCCUUGCCACCUACAAUUGCUAGUUUGGAUCAGAGUUGCUGUCCGGGGUCAUGGAAGAGAGAACAAGAGAGCACAAGAGAGCCAGCCCUGUUUGCGAGAGACCCAUGUUGGUAAGGGGGUGGCCCAGGGAGCUUACCCAGCAGAGUUAAUGAAGAGCGGGACGGAGGACAGAAGGGGUGAACCAUGUACGCCAAGGAGUCAAUCUGUCACACCCACAGUGCAUUGUUUGGAGAGACAUACCUACCAGAGUAAAGGACGAAGAAAAGCAAGGGAAUGAUUAAUGAUUAAUUCAAAUUUGAGGAUUAUGUGUCUGGGGAAGAAAGGAAGGUAUGCUUUUGGGGAGGCUCAUGUGUGUUUUCAAAGGCGCUGGCCUUGGACAUCUUAGGGUCUGUGUCAUUGAUUGGUCAUUAUUCCUCAAACCGCUCAUAGGUUGUACACAAACUCUUGGUGUGAUAUAUUUCACACACACACACACACACACACACACACACACACACACACAAAGGGGCGGG